AGGGGGUCCACGGUGACGGCGUCGGCGGUUGGUAGGCCUCGUGGCGGUGGCGUCAGAGAGAGUUUGGCGCAUCGACGCAGUGGUCCUAGCGCCGAUUCACGGCUUGCCAUGGCGGAGGCGGCUAUGGGCCCAGCAUGGAGACCCUACGGCAUCCACGAAGUGGGCUCGAAGCGGACUCGGGGGCGGUGAAGUCGAUUUCGGGCCGGAACGGUACCCAGCGUCGGUGGCGUCUGGCGAGGACAGUCGUAGAGAGAGAAAAUGCACACCUCCAGCUUCAGUUGCAGUAUGGACUAGAAUGAAGAACUGCACCCACAGUUCAGAUGGCCAUGUGAGAGAGCAUACGCCUAAACUGGUCAUUCUCUCUUCAUCUGAUCUCUGGAAAUAAUGGAGUGGACCUCCUGUCAGCUGCCUCCAAUACAACAUCCCUCCUCAAGUAAAAGGUCAAAAUCACAGAUACCAGUCGUCAGCUAGUGUAAUUCACUCCACAUGGUAUCGAGAAGUGGAUGGAGGCAUUGGAUACUGCAAAGGCUGUGUGCCCUGACAACAUUCUGGCAAGAGUAUUGAAGACUUCUCCAGAAUUUGCUGCUCCCCAAGCCAGACUUUGCAUUGUAGCUAUAACACUGGCUUCCACCUGACAAUGUGGAAAAUUGGCCUGUACACAAGAAGGAAGACAAAUGCAACCUGGCCCAUUAUUGCCCCAUCCGUUUACUCUCAAUCAUUAGUAAAGUGAUGGAAGGUGUCAUCAACAGCGCUAUCAAGCAGCUCUUGCUCAUCAAUAAACUGCUCACCAGGGCCCCUCAACUCCUGACCUCAUUAUGGCCUUGGUUCAAACAUGGACAAAAGAGCUGAAUUUUAGAAGUAACGUGUUGGAGAGUAUUCCCCAACCAGGGACAAAAACUCGGGAAGCAGGCAGGAUUCGACCGAUUUGGAAGAUGUUUAUUCGAGCAGAAGCCGGUUGUUGCGGGGGAGAGUCAAAGAAUAUUCUCCGAAUCAGAAGGGAGAUCAAUGACGCACUCAGAUUUUACAAAGAAUUUUUUAGGAAGUCAAUCUGAUGGGCUCACGAGCUAAGAUUUACACGCCUGGUGCUAUGUCUUUAGUGGGACAACAUCCUUUUGCUAAUGAGACUACAGUCAUUCGUCUGUUCUUGGGCAUUGUCAUAUCAAAACUGUCUCGGAUGAUGGGUUGCAGUGUCUUUGUGUGACCUUGGGUAGCUCUGUUCCAAGUUACUAUUAUGUUUCACUUUAAAUGUUAGAGCAGAUUCUGUCCCAUUUUGUUUAGUCCUCAUCAACCAUUUUGUCUUGGUCAAAUAUUGGGCCACUUUGGUAUAAACCAGUAUGGGUCACUUUGAAUGAACAGGUACUGGCCACUCCUACAUAAUGUGAGAAUUACAGUCCUUGACAUCGGACCUCAUUUUAAUGAGUGUAGUAUGGGAGCCCGAGCAAAAGCAGAAUCAACAGAUAUCAACUGUCCAUUGAUUGGAAUCAUACUUAACACAUAUGAAGAUGGUUGUGGGUGUUGGAGGUCAGUCAUCUCAGCUCCAGGGCAUCUCUAAAGAAGUUCCUCAGAGUCGUAUCCUAGACCCAACCAUUUUCAGUUACUUCAUCAGUGACCUUCCCUCUCUCAUAAGUGAAAGGUGGGGAUGUUCACCAAUGGUUACACAAUGUUCAGCACCAUUUGUGACUCCUGACAUACUGAAGCAGUUCCUGCUCAAAUGCAACAAGAUCCAGAUAGUAUCCAAACUUGGGCUGACAAGUGGCAGGGAACAUUCAUACCACACAAAUGCCAGGCAACGACCAUCUCUGAUAAGAGACAGUCUAACCACUGCCCCCUUGACAUUCAGUGGCAUUGCCAUCACUGAAUUCCCCCACAAUCAAUAUCUUAACCGUUACCAUUAACCAGAAACUCAACUGGACUCACCAUGUAAACACCAUGGCUACAAGUGCAAGUAGGAGGCUACAAAUGUUGUGGUGCAUAACUUACCUCCUGACUCCCCAAUGCCUGUCCACCACGUACAAGGUACACAUCAGGAGUGUGAUGGAAUACUCACCAAUGCUUGGAGAGUUCAGUUCAAAUAACACUCAAAAUGAUUGAUGCCAUCCAGGACAAUGCAGCUUGCUUGAUUAGUUGACAUUCACAAGCAUCCACUCCCUCCACCAAUGAUGCUUCAUUGCAGUUGUUCAUGUUAUAGAGUCAUACAGCAUGGAAACAGACCCCUCGGUCCAACCAGACUAUGCCAAACAUAAUCCCAAACUAAACUAAUCCCACCUGCCUGCUCCUGGCCCAUAUUCCUCCAAACCUUUCCUAUUCACGUAUCUACCCAAAUGUCUUUUAAGCAUUUUAAUUGUAUCUGUACCCAUCACUUCAUUAGGAAGUUCAUUCACAUUCUUAGACUACACAUUCCAAUCCCAUGACCACUUCAGUCUAGAAGGAUAAGGGCAGCAAAUAUAUGAGAACACCACCGGCAAGUUCUCCUCCAAGCUACUCACCAUCCUGACUUAGAAGUACAUCACUGUUCCUUCACUGACACUGGAUCAAAGCUCUGGAAUUCCCUCCCUAAUGGCAUUGUGGAUUUACCUACAGCGCACAGACUGCAGCAGUCUAAGAAGGCAGGCCAGCAACAGCCACAGAGCAACUAGGGACAAGCAAUAAUACCAGCCAGCCUGUGCUGACUGCGUCCCACAACUGAAAAUGAAGAAAAAUUAUUUGCAAUAUUCCAGGAGUGAUCUCACUAAU